rnacentral:rRNA from 1 species
GACGAACGCUGGCGGCGUGCUUAACACAUGCAAGUCGAACGGAAAGGCCCUGCUUGCAGGGUGCUCGCGUGGCGAACGGGUGAGUAACACGUGGGUGAACUGCCCCUUACUUUGGGAUAAGCCUGGGAAACUGGGUCUAAUACUGGCUAGGACCAUGCUGUAGGUGGUGUGGUGGAAAGAGUAGUUUCGGUAAGGGAUGAGCUCGGGGCCUAUCAGCUUGUUGGUGGGGUAAUGGCCUAGCAAGGCGUCGGCGGGUAGGCGGCCUGAGAGGGUGGCCGGCCUCAGAGGGUGUGAGACCAGGUUGAGACUGCGACGGGAGGCAGACGCCGACAGGAGGCAGCAAUGGGGGAUAUUGCGCAAUAGCCACAAGCCUGAUGUAGCGACGGCGCGUGGGGGAUGACGCCCUUCGGGUUGGAAACUCCAUUCAGCCAUGACGAAGCCCUUGUGGUGACGGUAGUGGUAGAAGAAGCACCGGCUAACUACGUG